CCCUUAGAUGUUCUGGGCGGCCCGCGCACUACAUUGGCACUCUCAAUAAGUUCCUAGAUCUAAAACUUUGGGGUAUUCUAUUAAGUGGUGUCGUGACUGGGAUUAACCCUUGCAAUUAUUGGUUACGAACGAGGAAUUCCUUGUAAUCGCGGUUUAUCAGCCCGCGUUGAAUGCGUCCCUGCCCUUUGUACACACCGCCCGUCGCUCCUACCGAUGAAUCGUCCGGUGAAGUUCAUGGAGUGGUGGUUGUUCCAGCUGCUGUCGAAGUGAAAUGGACCUCACGAUUUAGAGGAAGGAGAGGUCGUAACA
rnacentral:rRNA from 1 species